rnacentral:rRNA from 1 species
CGCACGGGUGAGUAACACGUAGGUUAUCUACCAAGGGGCGGGGGAUAACCGGAAGAAAUUCCGGCUAAUACCGCAUACGAACGUAAGUUGAAAGGAUGCUUCGGCAUUCACCCUUUGAUGAGCCUGCGGGACAUUAGCUUGAUGGUGGGGGUAAUGGCCUACCAUGGCGACGAUGUCUAGCUGGUCUGAGAGGACGAUCAGUCACACUGGAACUGAGACACGGUCCAG